rnacentral:rRNA from 1 species
AGAGUUUGAUCCUGGCUCAGGACGAACGCUGGCGGCGUGCCUAAUACAUGCAAGUAGAACGCUGAAGAGAGGAGCUUGCUCUUCUUGGAUGAGUUGCGAACGGGUGAGUAACGCGUAGGUAACCUGCCUUGUAGCGGGGGAUAACUAUUGGAAACGAUAGCUAAUACCGCAUAACAAUGGAUGACACAUGUCAUUUAUUUGAAAGGGGCAAUUGCUCCACUACAAGAUGGACCUGCGUUGUAUUAGCUAGUAGGUGAGGUAAUGGCUCACCUAGGCGACGAUACAUAGCCGACCUGAGAGGGUGAUCGGCCACACUGGGACUGAGACACGGCCCAGACUCCUACAGGAGGCAGCAGUAGGGAAUCUUCGGCAAUGGGGGCAACCCUGACCGAGCAACGCCGCGUGAGUGAAGAAGGUUUUCGGAUCGUAAAGCUCUGUUGUAAGUCAAGAACGGGUGUGAGAGUGGAAAGUUCACACUGUGACGGUAGCUUACCAGAAAGGGACGGCUAACUACGUGCCAGCAGCCGCGGUAAUACGUAGGUCCCGAGCGUUGUCCGGAUUUAUUGGGCGUAAAGCGAGCGCAGGCGGUUUGAUAAGUCUGAAGUUAAAGGCUGUGGCUCAACCAUAGUUCGCUUUGGAAACUGUCAAACUUGAGUGCAGAAGGGGAGAGUGGAAUUCCAUGUGUAGCGGUGAAAUGCGUAGAUAUAUGGAGGAACACCGGUGGCGAAAGCGGCUCUCUGGUCUGUAACUGACGCUGAGGCUCGAAAGCGUGGGGAGCGAACAGGAUUAGAUACCCUGGU